AUCCCCAGCAAAUCCAAUCAACUGGUGAAACAAACUCCUUAACAUUGCAGCAGAAGAGAAAAGAGAAGAAAAUGCAGAGGAAGAGGAACAUAAAAGAGGCAAAAGUUAAGGGGAUAUAUUGCCCGACCAUUCAGCGGAAGGCAAAGGAUAAGGAAAAGAGGAAGAGGCUGAGGAAGCAAAAAGAGGCCGAGGAAGCAAAAAGAGGCCAAAACUAAGAAGAAUAUGUGCUAUGAGGACGUAAGUCCUUUGUCAGAGUUGUUGGUGGCUGAAGAUGAUGUUAAAUUGGAUAUCGAUAUCAACACAGGAGGGAUGUCUAUGCAAAUUCCGGAUAUAUCGUCAAAGAGGAUUAGUGUUGAACCUUCCCAAAACAUAUGCAAUGGCGUGUCCGAAUGCUUAGAUACAGAUACGCCAUUUGACUCCCUUGCAAAUGCAUAUGACCUGAGACGACAAAGGAGAAUACCUAUAAAGUUGGCCCAGUGGAAUGUUUUGUAAUGACAAAGGGUUAAUGGAAUUGCAACCGUAGAAAUAGUGGGUCAUUUGUUGGAUAAGAAUCCAUUCAGAAGUUUUCUUCGUCAAGGAUGUGGUGCCUAUCUUGAGAUGGUGGCUACAGUUAAACAAGAUUGAUACUAUGUAUGGUUGCUUGAGUGGAGCGGUGCUCAGCCAUAUAAUGGUUGCUAUGAAUAGGUGUAGAAUUUGCCUGGUAAACAAAAGCUCCAAAGCCUCACAGGCCAUGGGUUACUCAGGCUUCUCAUUGGAUCUGCGUGCAUUGAUUCUUUCUGUGAGUCCUCUCAUGCCCGUGCACAACUUGAAUUUCAUCAAGGGACCGAGAAAGGAAGCAUGAUGAAUGUCCAGAUCAGGUCUUUUCCGGAUGUUUAUGUCUUUAUUGAGGGUUGCAGCUGUGAUCACAAGCCCA